rnacentral:rRNA from 1 species
UACGUAGGGUGCUAGCGUUGUCCGGAAUCAUUGGGCGUAAAGAGCGUGUAGGCGGUCCGUUAAGUCCGCUGUGAAAGUCGGGGGCUCAACCCUCGAAUGCCGGUGGAUACUGUCGGGCUAGAGUGCGGAAGAGGCGAGUGGAAUUCCUGGUGUAGCGGUGAAAUGCGCAGAUAUCAGGAGGAACACCGGUGGCGAAGGCGGUUCUCUGGGCAUUACCUGACGCUGAGGAGCGAAAGCAUGGGGAGCGAACAGG